rnacentral:rRNA from 1 species
GACGAACGCUGGCGGCGUGCUUAACACAUGCAAGUCGAACGAAGUGGCGAACGGGUGAGUAAUACGUGGGUAACCUGCCCUCCUUUUUGUGAUAAGCCUUGGAAACGGGGUCUAAUACCGAGUAAGGGGGGGUGGGCUCGCGACCUAUCAGCUGGUUGGUGGGGUGAUGGCCUACCAAGGCGGUGACGGGGAGCCGGCCUGGGAGGGUGACGGGCCUCAUGGGGAGGGGGUUACGGCCGAGAUGCGCCCGGGGGGCAGCCGUGGGGGAUAUUGCGGCAGGGGGGACAGCCGGCUGCAGCGACGCCGGGGGGGGGGUGAAGGCUUUCGGGUUGUAGACGUUUGUCGCUAUCGAACGGGUAGGUGGAGAGGAAGCGCCGGCUACCUACGAGCAAGCAGCCGCGGUAAUAC